rnacentral:rRNA from 1 species
AGCGAACGCUGGCGGCAGGCUUAACACAUGCAAGUCGAACGGGCAUAGCAAUAUGUCAGUGGCAGACGGGUGAGUAACGCGUGGGAACGUACCUUUUGGUUCGGAACAACACAGGGAAACUUGUGCUAAUACCGGAUAAGCCCUUACGGGGAAAGAUUUAUCGCCGAAAGAUCGGCCCGCGUCUGAUUAGCUAGUUGGUAGGGUAAUGGCCUACCAAGGCGACGAUCAGUAGCUGGUCUGAGAGGAUGAUCAGCCACAUUGGGACUGAGACACGGCCCAAACUCCUACGGGAGGCAGCAGUGGGGAAUAUUGGACAAUGGGCGAAAGCCUGAUCCAGCCAUGCCGCGUGAGUGAUGAAGGCCCUAGGGUUGUAAAGCUCUUUUGUGCGGGAAGAUAAUGACGGUACCGCAAGAAUAAGUCCCGGCUAACUUCGUG